AUGAACGCCGGAGCAGCGGCGAAGGGUAAGGGAGCUGCGGACGCGGAGCAGCGGCAGAGGGUUAAGGAGCUGCGGACGGCGGAGCAGCGGCGGACCUUGGGCUCUCGAUUGGAGCGGAGGGUGGCGCCGGCGAGGGACCUGCGGCCGACGGGGAAGGAUGUCGAAGUUGCGGCGGAGGGUGAGGGAGCUGCGGACGGCGGAGCAGCGCAGCAACGGCAGACCUCAGUGACGGAGCUCUCAAUUGGAGUGGAGGCAGGCAGCCGGCGGGGAAGGACAACGGCGCUGCGGCGGAGGGAGACAGAGCUGCGGAUGGCGGAGCAGCGCAGCAACAGCCGAAAUCAGGCUCUUGAUUGGGGCGGAGGUAGGCGGCCGGCGGGGAAGGACGGCGGAGCAGCGAAGGAGCUUCCAAGCCACGGGACGAGGGCCAGGAUGGAGAAGAUUCAAAACUGGGAGGACCUUUUUGCAAAAUGUUAUUUCUAUAGCGCUCGCGACAAGUAA
rnacentral:rRNA from 1 species